rnacentral:rRNA from 1 species
CCUACGGGCGGCAGCAGUGAGGAAUAUUGGUCAAUGGUCGGGAGACUGAACCAGCCAAGCCGCGUGAGGGAUGAAGGUACAGAGUAUCGUAAACCUCUUUUGUCAGGGAACAAAGGCGGGGACGUGUCCCCGGAUGAGUGUACCUGAAGAAAAAGCAUCGGCUAACUCCGUGCCAGCAGCCGCGGUAAUACGGAGGAUGCGAGCGUUAUCCGGAUUUAUUGGGUUUAAAGGGGGCGCAGGCGGUCUGUUAGGUCAGUGGGAAAAGCCCGGGGCCCAACCCCGGCCCGCCGUUGAAACUGGCAGUCUCGAGUUGGAGAGAAGUAUGCGGAAUGCGCGGUGUAGCGGUGAAAUGCAUAGAUAUCGCGCAGAACUCCGAUUGCGAAGGCAGCAUGCCGGCUCCACACUGACGCUGAGGCACGAAAGCGUGGGUAUCGAACAGGAUUAGAUACCCGGGUAGUC